rnacentral:rRNA from 1 species
GUGAGGAAUAUUGGUCAAUGGCCGAAGGGCUGAACCAGCCAAGUCGCGUGAAGGAUGAAGGUUCUAUGGAUUGUAAACUUCUUUUAUCAGGGAAUAAAGUGUGGUACGUGUACCAUUUUGUAUGUACCUGAUGAAUAAGCAUCGGCUAACUCCGUGCCAGCAGCCGCGGUAAUACGGAGGAUGCGAGCGUUAUCCGGAUUUAUUGGGUUUAAAGGGUGCGUAGGUGGUAAAUUAAGUCAGCGGUGAAAGUUUGUGGCUCAACCAUAAAAUUGCCGUUGAAACUGUUUUACUUGAGUGUGUUUGAGGUAGGCGGAAUGCGUGGUGUAGCGGUGAAAUGCAUAGAUAUCACGCAGAACUCCAAUUGCGAAGGCAGCUUACUAAACCAUAACUGACACUGAAGCACGAAAGCGUGGGGAUCAAACAGGAUUAGAAACCCCAGUAGUCC